rnacentral:rRNA from 1 species
AUGGCUCAGGAUGAACGCUAGCGGCAGGCUUAACACAUGCAAGGUCGAGGGGCAGCGCGAGGUAGCAAUACUUGGCGGCGACCGGCGAAAGGGUGCGUAACGCGUGAGCAACUUGCCCGUAUCUGGGACAUGAGCGGUGGAAACGCCGUCUAAUUUCCCAUAACAACAGAGGCCGCAUGACCUUUGUUUGAAAGAUCCGUCGGAUACGGAUGGGCUCGCGAGACAUUAGCUAGUCGGCGUGGUAACGGCACACCGAGGCGACGAUGUCUAGGGGUUCUGAGAGGAAGGUCCCCCACACUGGAACUGAGACACGGUCCAGACUCCUACGGGAGGCAGCAGUGAGGAAUAUUGGUCAAUGGGCGCAAGCCUGAACCAGCCAUGCCGCGUGAAGGAAAAUAAGGCCCUAUGGGUCGUAAACUUCUUUUGUGGUGGAGCAAUAAGGUGUACGUGUACACCGAUGAGAGUACAUCACGAAUAAGCAUCGGCUAACUCCGUGCCAGCCGCCGC